rnacentral:rRNA from 1 species
CUACGGGGUGCACCAGUGAGGAAUAUUGCACAAUGGGGGGAACCCUGAUGCAGCAACGCCGCGUGGAGGAUGACGCAUUUCGGUGUGUAAACUCCUUUUAUAUGUCAAGAAAAUGACGGUAGCAUAUGAAUAAGCACCGGCUAACUCCGUGCCAGCAGCCGCGGUAAUACGGAGGGUGCAAGCGUUACUCGGAAUCACUGGGCGUAAAGGACGCGUAGGCGGGUUGGCAAGUCAGGUGUGAAAUCCUACGGCUGAACUGUAGAACUGCAUUUGAAACUUCUAAUCUAGAGUAUGGGAGGGGGAGAUGGAAUUAGUGGUGUAGGGGUAAAAUCCGUAGAUAUCACUAGGAAUACCUAAAGCGAAGGCGAUCUCCUGGAACAUUACUGACGCUAAGGCGUGAAAGCGUGGGGAGCAAACAGGAUUAGAUACCCCCGUAGUC